UACGUAGGGCGCAAGCGUUAUCCGGAAUUAUUGGGCGUAAAGAGCUCGUAGGCGGUUUGUCGCGUCUGCCGUGAAAGUCCGGGGCUCAACUCCGGAUCUGCGGUGGGUACGGGCAGACUAGAGUGAUGUAGGGGAGACUGGAAUUCCUGGUGUAGCGGUGAAAUGCGUAGAUAUCUGGAGGAACACCGGUGGCGAAGGCGGCAUCCUGGACCAACACUGACGCUGAGUGAGCGAAAGCCAGGGGAGCAAACGGG
rnacentral:rRNA from 1 species